rnacentral:rRNA from 1 species
GGGAAUCUGCCCUUGGGUUCGGAACAACAGUUAGAAAUGACUGCUAAUACCGGAUGAUGUCUUCGGACCAAAGAUUUAUCGCCCAAGGAUGAGCCCGCGUAGGAUUAGCUAGUUGGUGGGGUAAUGGCCCACCAAGGCGACGAUCCUUAGCUGGUCUGAGAGGAUGAUCAGCCACACUGGGACUGAGACACGGCCCAGACUCCUACGGGAGGCAGCAGUGGGGAAUAUUGGACAAUGGGCGAAAGCCUGAUCCAGCAAUGCCGCGUGAGUGAUGAAGGCCUUAGGGUUGUAAAGCUCUUUUACCCGGGAUGAUAAUGACAGUACCGGGAGAAUAAGCUCCGGCUAACUCCGUGCCAGCAGCCGCGGUAAUACGGAGGGAGCUAGCGUUGUUCGGAAUUACUGGGCGUAAAGCGUACGUAGGCGGUUAUUCAAGUCAGAGGUGAAAGCCCGGGGCUCAACCCCGGAACGGCCUUUGAAACUAGGUAGCUAGAAUCUUGGAGAGGUCAGUGGAAUUCCGAGU